UUAAGUAAAGCAUUUUUUUAUGCAUUUAACUGUUAAUUAAAAGAGUACUUAUAGUUACUUAAA
rnacentral:tRNA from 1 species